GGCUUGGUGGUCUAGUGGUAUGAUUCGCGCUUAGGGAAAACCCUGUGGCAUAUAUAUGCGCGAGGUCCCGGGUUCGAUCCCCGGCCAAGCCC